UGGAAAUCAAAAUGGUAACAAGAUUCCAUAAAGUCAUUAUAGAAACCAUAUAAAUGUAUAUUUAAGGCAUCCCAAAAUUAAUAGAAGUACUGGACACAAGUAAAGAAGAUGCUGCAUUAGCUUGCUAGGGCUACCAUAACAAAAUACCAUAUACUGGGUGGCUUAAGCACAGAAACUUGUUUUCUUAUAGUUCUGGAAGCUGGGAGUCUAAGGUCAAGGUAUUAGUGGGCUUGGCUUCUGCUGAGGUCUCUCACCUAGUCUUGCAUAUGGCCACCUUCUCUGUGUUGCCACGUGGUCUUUCCUCUGCGCUCAGGCAUAUCCGCUGUCUCUUUAUGUGCCCACAUUUCUUCUUCUUAUAAGGACAUGUGUCAUAUUGGAAUAGGGCUCCUCGAACAGCCUCAUUUUAACUUACUCACUUUUUAAAUGUUCAAUCUCAAAUACAGUCAAAUUCUGAGGCUCUUGGAAGCGAGGGCUUCCAUACAUGAAUUUGGAGGGAUGCAAUUCAGCCGAUGGCAGAUCAAUACAAUAAAGGCACCAAAGAUAUAUUGUGGGCCUUACCUCCUUCAGCAAGAUGCUAGAUUUUUGUUUGGAAUCUACUUUUCUCCACUUUGGGUCUAUCCUGGUUUGAGAAAAGACACUGCUGGACUUCAGCACACCACAUUCUUCCAGGCCACAAUCAAAUGUUCAAGACCCAAUCCAAGUAGAUCUCAGGAAUUCUGCAGUAGAGGCAUCCAAAUGGUGUCUGGAUUACCCUUGGCAGAGUUUCUUCGUGAAGAUGAGAAUAUUUGGUAUACUAGGCACUGAAAGGAGAUUCUCUGUACUGAGAUCCAUGGACCUGUGCAUGAUUCACCUCAGAGGGGUCUGUGAUAUUGUAGAUUAUCUUAAGGUUCAAUGUGCACAGCUGAAUUCUUCCAAAGAGUGUUUUCAAGAAAUAUUUGCCAACAAUUCCUCAGAUGUGAGGAAAUGGGAAAUAGCCUUCUGAAGGGUCAAGUCUAAUGCGGGCAAUAGAGAGUGAAGAGACAAAAAGACAUCAGGUUCACUAGACAAAGGGGCCCUGGCAAGGACUCACACCAAAUCUUGAGAUUCCAGGAAGUCACUUUUGAGAGAAAACACAAGGAAUGGUUGGGACUCAUCCAGGUGAGGUUAGGAAUCAGAAAAGUUAAGAUCUCAUGACCAAGAAGAUUUUUUCUAAGAACAGUAUAAGGGGAUGCAAGAUAUGGGGUAUGCCCAGAACAGUCCACCUCUGCAGCCAGGAUCCAAACUCUUAAGGACCAAUUCUCUUUGCUCCGAGCGACCAGAACGAUCAUUUUCCCAUAAGUCAGAGCUUGACAACAGUCAAGAUACCAAAUAGGCCUACAAGAACAGCAUCCACA
rnacentral:lncRNA from 1 species